rnacentral:tRNA from 1 species
CAGAAAAUAGUUUAUUAAAAAUAUUAAUUUUGGAGAUUAAUGAUAGAAUUUAUUAUUCUUUUUUUGA